rnacentral:rRNA from 1 species
GGGUUGGCAGCAGUAGGGAAUAUUGCUUAAUGGGCGCAAGCCUGAAGCAGCAACGCCGCGUGUGCGAUGACGGCCUUCGGGUUGUAAAGCUACUUUUAGGUGGGAAGAGGAAGGACGGUACCACCUGAAUAAGCCUCGGCUAACUACGUGCCAGCAGCCGCGGUAAAACGUAGGAGGCGAGCGUUAUCCGGAUUUACUGGGUGUAAAGCGCGUGCAGGCGGUUCGUUAAGUUGGAUGUGAAAGCUCCCGGCUCAACUGGGAGAGGUCGUACAAGACUGGCGGACUGGAGUGUGGUAGGGGAAGGUGGAAUUCCGGGUGUAGUGGUGAAAUGCGUAGAUAUCCGGAGGAACACCAGUGGCGAAGGCGGCCUUCUAGACCACAACUGACGCUCAGACGCGAAAGCUAGGGUAGCAAACGGGAUUAGAGACCCCGGUAGUCCUAGCCGUAAACGAUGUGAACUUGGCGGCGGUUGGGUAAAACCGAUCGGUGCCGAAGCAAACGCGAUAAGUUCACCACCUGGGGACUACGGCCGCAAGGUUA